rnacentral:lncRNA from 1 species
CAGAGCUCACCUUCGGCGGUGGGCCGGGCCUUCACCACCCUGGUGACUUUGGUCCAGCUUGGCUGCCUAAUCCUCUACAAAAAUGCGAAGAAAGUAAACCAACAUGUACAAACACGAGUAAACGCAGGAAUAGGCGAGUACGUAGAUCAGGAGGCGGGCGAAGGGGUAAAGAGUCGCCAUGCACUGUUGCCUUCCUGAGAGGCCUUUCUGGAGUCCUCACCCAACUAUGCCGGUUUAGGGGAAUGGUCAUCUCCAUGGCAGUGACGUUCCACGGUGCGAAUGGGCAGAGAGAGCCAGUGGCUUCCGGCCUUACAUAACCUUCUCACCUGGUAGGCAGCUAGUGAGA